rnacentral:rRNA from 1 species
CCUACGGGCGGCAGCAGUGGGGAAUAUUGCACAAUGGGCGCAAGCCUGAUGCAGCCAUGCCGCGUGUGUGAAGAAGGCCUUCGGGUUGUAAAGCACUUUCAGCGGGGAGGAAGGCGUUAAGGUUAAUAACCUUGUCGAUUGACGUUACCCGCAGAAGAAGCACCGGCUAACUCCGUGCCAGCAGCCGCGGUAAUACGGAGGGUGCAAGCGUUAAUCGGAAUUACUGGGCGUAAAGCGCACGCAGGCGGUCUGUCAAGUCGGAUGUGAAAUCCCCGGGCUCAACCUGGGAACUGCAUUCGAAACUGGCAGGCUGGGUUCUGGUGGCGGGGGUAGAAUUCCAGGUGUAGCGGUGAAAUGCGUAGAGAUCUGGAGGAAUACCGGUGGCGAAGGCGGCCCCCUGGACAAAGACUGACGCUCAGGUGCGAAAGCGUGGGGAGCAAACAGGAUUAGAUACCCCUGUAGUC